UAAUGCACAUUGAACUUCCCGAUGGAACUAAGAGGUUUUAAUGGACCAGAAUUGAUAAUGGUAUAAGUGGCGCCUGUAAAUGUAAACAGAUCGUACUUGAUGCGGUCUUAUGAUACCAGUCAGUUUUUCACAAUUCCAGAAAUAGCAGGUACUUGUGUGUUUAGGAGGAGCCUAAUGGAGUAUUCUAUGGAUCAAUAUGAGAGGUUAUAGCAGUGUUUAUAUGGUGUAAUAGUAGGAAUUAUAGACCUCAGUUCAGGCCUUGGAUGCUUUGGAUUGGAAUGUGAAUGGA